GUAAAUUUUAGUGUUAGUUUUAUUAUAUUUUAAAAAUAUGAUAAUAAAUUUUGCAGUAAUUAAUAUUAAAAAUUUAAGAAAUUAAGAUUUAGUAAUACAAAUAUUAAAUAACAAAUUUUGUGCCAGCAGUUGCGGUUAUACAAAAAUUUAAAUAAAUUUUAUUAGUAAAAAUAAAUAAUAUAAAUUAUUUAAUUGAAAUUUAAAAUUAUUAAGUGAAAUUUUAAUUUUAUAAAAAUUUAAAUUUUAUUUAUGAGUUUAAAAAUUUUGAUAUUAAACUAGGAUUAGAUACCCUAUUAUAAAAAAUUAAUUUUAAUUACUAAAAUAGUAAAUAAUUAUUUAUUAAAACUUAAAUAAUUUGGCGGUAUUUUAGUUCAUUUAGAGGAAUCUGUCUAGUAAUUGAUAAUCCACGAAUAAUCAUAUUUAAUUUAUAAUUUUAUAUAUCGUUGUUAAAAAAAUAUUUUUUAAUAAAAAUAAUAUUUUAAAAUUUAAAUUUAAAAUUAAUUCAGAUCAAGAUGUAGAUAAUAAUUAAAUUUAAGAUGGAUUACAAUAUAAUUAUAUAAAUGAAUAAUAAGUUUGAAAGAAUUAUUUGAAAUUGGAUUUAAAUGUAAUUUUAUUUAAUUUAUUAAAAUGAUUAAAAAUUGAAAUAUGUACAUAUUGCCCGUCACUUUCAUUUAAAAAUUGGAAUAAGUCGUAACAAAGUAGGGGUACUGGAAAGUGUUCCUAGAAAGAA
rnacentral:ncRNA from 1 species